AGAAGCAAAAGUCUCGUAUUGUGUGGAGCCAUCCUCAUUCAAUGUACUGGUGGUAUGUUACAGUUCCUGGGUUUAGCCAAACACAGUUAAUUCAAACUUUCAGAGUGUUCUGCGAGUCCAAGGGUCCAUGUGUUCGGGAAGCUGUUCUGCGACUGAUUUAGUCUGUACUGCUGCAGUUUAACCAUCUGGAAUCUGAGGCCUCUCACCCACUUUCGAGGUAGUCUAACAUGCCAUGACAUUUUUAAAUAUUUCACCAAUUUAAAAAAACAUUUAUCCAGAAAUACUACAAAUGCUUUUACUCAGCACAAUCUCAGCACCAAUAAUCUAAGACCACUCAGAAUGUCAUUAUUCAACUUCAAACAUACACUUUUCAAAAACCUAUUUCCAGAAGUGCUGGGAAUUUUUUUUUUAAAUGACAUCAUAAACAUUUCUAGCCAAGACUCUGGAGCUAAUGGACACCGGUUUUGGCUACACAUAAGUGAAUGAGAUAUUCUGAAAUUUUAUGUGGUUUGAUUACUAAAAUAUUAGAACUUUAGUACCUUACAGUGCAGUGCAGUGUUAGACCUUGUGUGUCUCCGUUACUUGUAAUAGUAGUGUGGUUAUUUGUGUGAAGUGCUUUUGUGGGCUACAGUACAAAAAGCUGCUUUGUUCGCUAACCAUCUUUUUUAUUUUCAUUUUUGCCGCUACCAUGCUUCAGUUUGAUAAAUAUGUUCACAUUUCCCAAAAGCUCCCGUUAGCAACUUAGAUUCAGUUGCAAGGUUCCUACUCUGUAAGUGGCUAACGUAAUCAGCAACUAUGCUUUUGGGAAACGUACCAUGUUGCAUUGUUUAUGUGAAUUGUACAAAUGUUUUUACGGCAAAAAUUAAUAUUUUAAGUAAAAUGUUAUUUCCAGCAAAUACAAUCAAUACGAUUUUAAGAGUGAACUCUGAGAUUGGGACCCGGAUACUUUGAUGUUACUGUUUGCUGUCAUCAAGGACAAACAGAACGGAGCCAGAGCACCAUACGGCGAAGUUGUGACUACUACUCCUGCUGAUGCAGAGAACCAAUUGUCUCCCCAUCAGCCUAAGGCUAAUCAUGCUAGGAGGCAACAUCCUGAGUGCAUCAAAAUGGAUGUUGUCAUUUGAGGGGCAUGUUGCACAUUCAACUCCAGUGCCUGACUUCGCCACUGCCUUGGUUGUGCUUUUUGCCAGUUAUGUGUUCAGCAUUGAAUAUCAGGUGGAAGCAGCCAGAACACUCGAAUUUCUUCAGAGGUUCCUAGUCAGGAUUAAUACUGAUUCCAGCAAGUGCAGUGCCAGUAUCCACAGGAGCCAAAAAACUGGGAAACUGGUAAUACGGAAGAUGCACAUAUGAACUCAUAUGUCAGUUCCUUCAUUAGAGACUUCACCGAGCUUGAUUGGCAAAAUGACUAGACAUAGGUGAGUUUUACUACUUGGGCUUUAAACUGACAGUAGUGGUAAAACAUCCCAAAAGACUCCAUGUAAAUGUUCAAAAUCACAUUUUAUUAUUCAGGGACACAGAGAAACAUAGUGGAUGUAACUGAAAAAAUUGUUGAGAUGCAAGCAGUUUUGUCAUUUUUUCCAAUAAUGUGAAGACUUUAACAGCUUUGAAAACAAAGAAUUGUUCAGCGUUACACUGUUAGUGAAGAAGAAUUUAUUUAGAAAGGACACGGUCUACAAAGGCAUAGCCUUUGCGGACUGCGUACUUCAAAGGUUGAAUUAUAAAUGUUGGGAAAUGGGAUGGUCUGGCCUAAGAAUAAUUUCCUAUCUGCGUCACCAGCUGUUCCCGCCUUUACCCUUGCGUCAUGAAGCGCCACUCCUAUCGACUGGCCUGGGACACUCCCACUUUACAUCCAUGCUAUGAAUCUUGGCAUAGGUUGGGCUGGGAAGGAUGCAUUUCUAGAAUGCAUUUGAAGGAGACUUGUAAUGUGUGAUAUUAAUAUUGACAUUGCAAGCUAUGCACAAACGAUUCUCAUAUCGCAGCUUGGUCGAGAUUAGGCUUUUGCCAACCUGCCUACUGUAUGUACAUUAGACCGCGGUAUAAGGUAUUUUCAUAAACAACCUUAUUUUUCAAUACAAAAAUCUUGGUGAUGCCACGCCCUGCUUACGUCCCUUCCGUUCUCUCUCCCCAAUGUGGCUCUAAUGAACCACACCAAUUAAUUAUUUGUCUUGCCUCUCAUUUCAGCCCUCGUGUGACUCACUACAGCUGCCUCUUGUCUACGGCUGCACGAUAUAUCGUUUCAGCAUUGUCAUCACGAUGUACGCACGUGCAAUAGUCACAUCGCAGGACAUCCAAUGUCAAAUAACACAAAUUAAAUUAAGCGGCGUGGGCAACGCUUUUGGUGUUCUUAUUCUUAAACAAUCCACAAAAGUCUGUCUAAUAUAAUUUAGGUCAAUUUAAAGGUUUUUGGAUACGGAGCCGACACGGAGCUUUGCACGCGCAGCUAACAAACAUGUCGAUCACAGAAUGACCCACCAAUCACAAACAUUCUUGAUCCCAGCACUAACCACCUUCCUUAGUUUAAUGCUCAUGCUCUGUUUAGUACUGAUUAAGUUGUCAUUACCAUUAUAUUUGGGCAAAAUCAGCUCAAUCUCUCUAGAAUGAUUAAUUAUACCAAUAGAGCUAUUGAACUAAUUCGAUUUUUAAAAAUCCUAAUAUCGCAAUAUAUAUUGCAGAAAGAAUAAAUAUUGCAAUGUGAUUUUUUCUCAAUAUCGUGCAGCCCUCCUCUUGUCUGCUCCCUCGUCAAUGGUGUUAUAAAGUGCCUGCCAGUCUUCUGCUCCUGAGCCCAGUCACUGAUGCCAUCCUUGGCUUGUUUGUAAAUGUUGCUCCUGUCUGUUACCUGCUUCCUUUAUGUUUUCCAGCCCUUGGUUUUAAUCCCUCAUGAUCCUUUUGCUUUGCUCCUGCUCCCAAAUAAAGCCCCGUUAGGUUUUGCCCCAAAUCUUGCUCCCGUGUCCUUCUUCCAGCUAUACAUUGUGACAGUGACAGCUAAGAGUGGCUCAGACCAACCUUAAGAAACUAUUUUUUGCAUAUGGUAUACUUAACUAAGGACAUUUUGGAAA